GAAGAGUCAGAUGAUGAAGGAGAAGAUUGAGAAGAUGAGCAGAGAGAUUUCAUCUCUUUCAGACACAAUCAGAGCCAUAGAAAAGGAGAUGGAAGCUGAUGAUGUCACAUUCUUACAGAACUACAAGAGCACAGUGGAAAGAGCCCAGUGCACACUGCAGG